GGGUCUGCCCGAUAGAGGGGGAUAACUACUGGAAACGGUGGCUAAUACCGCAUAAUGUCUACGGACCAAAGCAGGGGCUCUUCGGACCUUGCACUAUCGGAUGAACCCAUAUGGGAUUAGCUAGUAGGUGGGGUAAAGGCUCACCUAGGCGACGAUCUCUAGCUGGUCUGAGAGGAUGAUCAGCCACACUGGGACUGAGACACGGCCCAG
rnacentral:rRNA from 1 species